rnacentral:lncRNA from 1 species
UAAACCUUUGAAGAAAAAAAAGCCUCCACUGCCUCUUAAAAUAGUUUCAGAUCCUGUGAAGAAUCUUCCUGGAACAGAUUUAGUUUGAAGUGUUACAGAAACAACUUCUGUCCAAACACAAGGCAGAAUGACAGUGGAUAUGGAAAAUCUCAUGAGCUUUGGCAGUCAGUGCUCAUCCUCGGUGUCAGAAGCAGUUUUCAGAGAUGGGAAUG